GAUGAACGCUGGCGGCGUGCCUAAUACAUGCAAGUCGAGCGAACAGACGAGGAGCUUGCUCCUCUGACGUUAGCGGCGGACGGGUGAGUAACACGUGGAUAACCUACCUAUAAGACUGGUAUAACUGCGGGAAACCGGAGCUAAUCCCGGAUAAUAUAUUUAACCGCAUGGUUCAAUAGUGAAAGACGGUUUUGCUGUCACUUAUAGAUGGAUCCGCGCCGCAUUAGCUAGUUGGUAAGGUAACGGCUUACCAAGGCAACGAUGCGUAGCCGACCUGAGAGGGUGAUCGGCCACACUGGAACUGAGACACGGUCCAGACUCCUACGGGAGGCAGCAGUAGGGAAUCUUCCGCAAUGGGCGAAAGCCUGACGGAGCAACGCCGCGUGAGUGAUGAAGGUCUUCGGAUCGUAAAACUCUGUUAUUAGGGAAGAACAAAUGUGUAAGUAACUAUGCACGUCGUGACGGUACCUAAUCAGAAAGCCACGGCUAACUACGUG
rnacentral:rRNA from 1 species